UACGUAGGGUGCAAGCGUUGUCCGGAAUUAUUGGGCGUAAAGAGCUCGUAGGCGGUCUGUCGCGUCGGCUGUGAAAACUCGGGGCUCAACCCCGAGCCUGCAGUCGAUACGGGCAGACUAGAGUGCUGUAGGGGAGACUGGAAUUCCUGGUGUAGCGGUGAAAUGCGCAGAUAUCAGGAGGAACACCGGUGGCGAAGGCGGUCUGCUGGGGUCGAACUGACGCUGAGGCGCGACAGCGUGGGGAGCAAACAGG
rnacentral:rRNA from 1 species